rnacentral:tRNA from 1 species
UGAAAUAUAGUUCAGUGGUAGAGCACUUACCUUGAAUGUAUGAGGCCCUCAGUUUAAUUCCCAGUACCCCAG